rnacentral:rRNA from 1 species
UAAGGAAUAUUGGACAAUGGGCGAAAGCCUGAUCCAGCCAUCCCGCGUGCAGGAAGACGGCUCUAUGGGUUGUAAACUGCUUUUGGAAGGGAAGAAGUCCUGCCAUUUAUGGUGGGUUGACGGUACCCUCAGAAUAAGCACCGGCUAACUCCGUGCCAGCAGCCGCGGUAAUACGGAGGGUGCAAGCGUUAUCCGGAAUCACUGGGUUUAAAGGGUGCGUAGGUGGCUAGAUAAGUCAGAGGUGAAAGCUUGCAGCUUAACUGUGAAAUUGCCUUUGAUACUGUUUAGCUUGAGACUAUUUAAGGUAGGCGGAAUGCGUCAUGUAGCGGUGAAAUGCAUAGAUAUGACGU